GCCAGGCACGGUGGUGCCUGUCUGUAAUCCCAGCAGCUUGGGAGGCUGAUGCAGAGGACUUCAAGUUUGAAGCCAGCCUCAGCAACUU
rnacentral:sRNA from 1 species